rnacentral:rRNA from 1 species
GACAGAGGGUGCAAACGUUGUUCGGAAUUACUGGGCGUAAAGCGUGUGUAGGCGGCUACGUAAGUCGGAUGUGAAAGCCCCAGGCUCAACCUGGGAAGUGCACUCGAUACUGCGUAGCUUGAGUAUCGGAGAGGUUGGUGGAAUUCUCGGUGUAGAGGUGAAAUUCGUAGAUAUCGAGAGGAACACCGGUGGCGAAGGCGGCCAGCUGGACGAAUACUGACGCUGAGACACGAAAGCGUGGGGAGCAAACAGG